rnacentral:rRNA from 1 species
GAGUUUGAUCGUGGCUCAGAACGAACGCUGGCGGCAGGCCUAACACAUGCAAGUCGAACGAGCUGAGACCUUCGGGUCUCGAUGCUAGUGGCGCACGGGUGAGUAACGCGUGGGAACGUACCCUUUAGUACGGAAUAACGCAGGGAAACUUGCGCUAAUACCGUAUACGCCCUCCGGGGAAAGAUUUAUCGCUAAAGGCUCGGCCCGCGUCUGAUUAGGUAGUUGGUGAGGUAACGGCUCACCAAGCCGACGAUCAGUAGCUGGUCUGAGAGGAUGAUCAGCCACACUGGGACUGAGACACGGCCCAGACUCCUACGGGAGGCAGCAGUGGGGAAUAUUGGACAAUGGGCGAAAGCCUGAUCCAGCCAUGCCGCGUGAGUGAAGAAGGCC